rnacentral:rRNA from 1 species
CGAAGUAAGAAAGGGCGUACGGUGGAUGCCUAGGCUCUCACAGGCGAUGAAGGACGUGAUAAGCUGCGAUAAGCUUCGGGGAGGUGCAAAUGACCUUUGAUCCGGAGAUUUCCGAAUGGGACAACCCGGCAGGCUGAAGGCCUGUCAUCCGAUGAAUGUCGGAGGCGAACGCGGGGAACUGAAACAUCUUAGUACCCGCAGGAAGAGAAAAUAAAAAUGAUUCCCCUAGUAGUGGCGAGCGAACGGGGAAGAGCCCAAACCGCUGCGGUUCCGGCCGCGGCGGGGUUGUAGGACUGCGACAUCGAGAAGAAGAGGUGAGUGGAACGUACUGGAAAGUGCGGCCAUAGCGGGUGAUAGCCCCUUACACGAAGCCUCUUUCAUCGUAGCAGCAUCCUGAGUAGCGCGGGACACGUGAAAUCCUGUGUGAAUCCGGCGGGCCCAUCCGCCAAGGCUAAAUACUCGUGAGAGACCGAUAGUGAACCAGUACCGUGAGGGAAAGGUGAAAAGCACCGCGCGUAGCGGAGUGAAAUAGUCCCUGAACCCGUACGCCUACAAGCGGUCGGAGCAACAUUAUGUUGUGACGGCGUGCCUUUUGCAUAAUGAACCUACGAGUUGCCGUCGCCGGCGAGGUUAAGCGCAACGAUGCGCGCAGCCGAAGCGAAAGCGAGUCUUAAACGGGCGCAUAGUCCGCGGCGGCAGACGCGAAACCGAGUGAUCUACCCUUGUCCAGGCUGAAGUCCGGGUAACACCGGAUGGAGGGCCGAACCAAUAAGCGUUGAAAAGCUUCUGGAUGAGGUGAGGGUAGGAGUGAAAGGCCAAUCAAACUCGGAGAUAGCUCGUACUCCCCGAAAUGCAUUUAGGUGCAGCCCCCGUUGUUUCCUGCAUGAGGUAGAGCGACUGAUCGGAUGCGAGGGCUUCACCGCCUAUCAAGUCCGGACAAACUCCGAAUGCGUGCAGGUAAGAGACGGGGAGUGAGGGCAUGGGUGCUAAGGUCCGUGCCCGAGAGGAGAAGAAUCCAGACCGCCGGCUAAGGUCCCGAAUUACAGGUUAAGUUAGUCUAACGAAGUGUUGUCCCGAAGACAGCUAGGAUGUUGGCUUGGAAGCAGCCAUUCAUUCAAAGAGUGCGUAACAGCUCACUAGUCGAGGGACGUCGCAUGGAUAAUAAUCGGGUAUGAAAUCUGUAACCGAAGCCGCGGGAUGUCUUAAGACAUCGGUAGGGGAGCAUUCCACCGGCGUUGAAUGUCGAAGAUGACUUCGGCUGGAGCUUGUGGAAAAGCAAAUGUAGGUAUAAGUAACGAUAAAGAGGGUUAGAUGCCCUCUCGCCGAAAGACCAAGGAUUCCCGGGCAACGUUAAUCGCCCCGGGGUUAGUCGGGCCCUAAGGAUAAGCCGAACGGCGAGGCCGAUGGAAGAAACGGUUAAUAUUCCGUUACUGCCUUGCAUGGCGAUGUGGAGACGGAGAAGUGACACUUCCGCGCACUGACGGAAACGUGCGUUGAAGAGUGUAGGCGUCGAUCGUGGUAGGCAAAUCCGCCGCGAGAGCCGAACUUGACAGUACGCAAAGCCUUCGGGCGGCGCGAUAGCGAAGGUAAGCAUGCUCCCGAGAAAAUCCGCUAAGCUUAACAUGCAAGGCACCCGUACCGUAAACGGACACACGUGGUCGGGUAGAAAAUACUAAGGCGCUUGGAAGAUUCACGGUUAAGGAACUAGGCAAAUUGACCCCGUACCUUCGGAAUAAGGGGUCCUCGCUUUUGCGAGGCGCAGAGAAUAGGUCCAGGCAACUGUUUAACAAAAACACAGGGCUGUGCAAAUUCGAAAGAUGAAGUAUACAGCCUGACACCUGCCCGGUGCUGGAAGGUUAAGAGGAGAUGUCAUCGCAAGAGAAGCAUUGAAUUGAAGCCCCAGUAAACGGCGGCCGUAACUAUAACGGUCCUAAGGUAGCGAAAUUCCUUGUCGGGU